GCCCUCCUACGGGAGGCAGCAGUGAGGAAUAUUGGUCAAUGGCCGAGAGGCUGAACCAGCCAAGCCGCGUGAGGGAAGACGGCCCUAUGGGUUGUAAACCUCUUUUGUCGGAGAACAAAACCCGGGACGUGUCCCGGACUGCGUGUAUCCGAAGAAAAAGCAUCGGCUAACUCCGUGCCAGCAGCCGCGGUAAUACGGAGGAUGCGAGCGUUAUCCGGAUUUGUUGGGUUUAAAGGGUGCGCAGGCGGCUUUUUAAGUCAGCGGUCAAAUCGUGGGGCUCAACCCCAUCCAGCCGUUGAAACUGG
rnacentral:rRNA from 1 species